ensembl:lncRNA
CUCGAAGAGAUUCUGGCAAACUGUAUGGCGCCUCAGGAAGGGGAAGCAGUGCCCUGUCAACACUGUUUACAGUGGAGGUGGGCAACUGUUGACCUCAACUGGGGAUAUCAUCGGACGGUGGAAGGAAUAUUUCAAGGAUCUCCUCAACCCCACCGACAUGCCUUCCGUUGAGGAAGCAGAGGCUGAGGGCUCAGAGGUGGACUUGUCCAUCACCCAAGCUGAAGUCACCGAGGUAGUUAAGAGGCUUCUUAGGGGCAAGGCACCAGGGGUGGAUGAGAUCCGCCCUGAGUACCUCAAGUCCCUGGAUGUUGUGGGGCUGUCUUGGCUGACACGUCUCUGCAGCAUCGUGUGGCGGUCGGGGACAUUGCCUCUGGAAUGGCAGACCAGGGUGGUGGUCCCUCUUUUCAAGAAAGGGGACCGGAGGGUGUGUUCCAACUACAGGGGGAUCACACCCCUCAGCGUUCCUGAGGUGCUGAGGUGGCUCGGGCAUCUGUUCUGGAUGUCCAUCACAUCCCACCGGGAGGAGGCCCCGGGGAAGACCGAGGACACGCUGGAGGGACUAUGUCUCUCGGCUGGCCUGGGAACGCCGGAAGAGCUGGAGCCUAAAAACAUGGAGAAAAUGGGGGUGUCAGAGACUUCCAUGGGAAAAAAAACAGAACAGGAGAAAACAGCAAUGGAUCCAGAUAUUAGAGUGAGACAACCAGAGAAAAGAGUAAUUGAACCUGAUAUUACAGAGAGAGAACUGGAUAGAAGAGCGAUGGAACUGGAUAGAAGAGCAUUUGACUUGCAUGUGGAACUAAACAGAAGAGGGAUGGAAAUGGAUAUUAGACAGAGAGAAAUUGAGAAAAGAGCAGAGAGAAGACAGACCGAACUGGAUAAAAGACUGAUGGACCUGUAUUUAAGGAAUAAGCUGUAUAUUAGAGACGAAGAAGCAAUGGAACUGUAUAAGAGAGAGAGAGAACUGGAUAGAAGAGAGAGUGAAAUGGAGAGAAGAGAGAGUGAACUGGAGAGAAGAGAGGGUGAACUGGAUAGAAGAGAGAGUGAACUGGAGAGAAGAGAGGGGGAACUGGAGAGAAGAGAGAGUGAACUGGAUAGAAGAGAGAGUGAACUGGAGAGAAGAGAGGGUGAACGGGAGAAAAGACAGAGUGAACUGGAUAGAAGAGAGAGUGAACUGGACAGAAGGACUAAAGGAUUGAAACCUCAUCGAAGUAGCAGCAAUGAGUUAGACCAUCCUAACAGUAAGAAUUAUGUUAUUUAUGCACAGUUUGAUUUAUGCAUGUGA